CCCUGACGUGACAAAGACUCUAAGAUUCGGAACGGUCAGUCCUUAACUGGCCUCUGCCAACAGACUUGGGGAGAGGAGCCCUUAAUGUUGACAAGGCACGCGGCCAUCAGCCCUUCAGAGAGCAGACAGUGAGAAUUCAGGGACAGGAGCAAAAAGGUGUGCUCAUUGCUGGACGGUGCAUCUCUGGCCUAGGUGGUUGUGAUCACGAGCACUGUGACCUUCCGGUGGAGUGGGGGGUGCUGCGUCUCCCUUCCCCGCUACCGGGGAACACCUGGACUUGCUUCAGGGAACAAACGGACCUCAGAUCUUCAGCAGCAGUCAUUUGCAUCCAGCCAUUACCAGC
rnacentral:lncRNA from 1 species